GCUUACGGCCAUACCACCCUGAGCGCGCCCGAUCUCGUCUGAUCUCGGAAGCUAAGCAGGGUCGGGCCUGGUUAGUACUUGGAUGGGAGACCGCCUGGGAAUACCAGGUGCUGUAGACU
rnacentral:rRNA from 1 species